GACGAACGCUGGCGGCGUGCUUAACACAUGCAAGUCGAACGGUGAAGGGGCCUGCUUUUGUGGGCCCUGGAUGAGUGGCGAACGGGUGAGUAACACGUGAGUAACCUGCCCCCUUCUUCUGGAUAACCGCAUGAAAGUGUGGCUAAUACGGGAUAUUCUGGGUCUGUCGCAUGAUGGGUCUGGGAAAGAUUGCGCCUUUGGGUGUUUUUGGUGGGGGAUGGGCUCGCGGCCUAUCAGCUUGUUGGUGGGGUGAUGGCCUACCAAGGCGGUGACGGGUAGCCGGCCUGAGAGGGUGGACGGUCACACUGGGACUGAGACACGGCCCAGACUCCUACGGGAGGCAGCAGUGGGGAAUAUUGCACAAUGGGCGCAAGCCUGAUGCAGCGACGCCGCGUGAAGGAUGGAGGCCUUCGGGUUGUAAACCUCUUUCGCAAGUGAAGCAGGCCUGCUCCUUGUGGGUGGGUUGACGGUAGCUGGAUAAGAAGCGCCGGCUAACUACGUG
rnacentral:rRNA from 1 species